rnacentral:rRNA from 1 species
CAGUCGCCGCGGUAAUACGUAGGUCCCGAGCGUUGUCCGGAUUUAUUUGGCGUAAAGCGAGCGCAGGCGGUUAGAUAAGUCUGAAGUUAAAGGCUGUGGCUUAACCAUAGUACGCUUUGGAAACUGUUUAACUUGAGUGCAAGAGGGGAGAGUGGAAUUCCAUGUGUAGCGGUGAAAUGCGUAGAUAUAUGGAGGAACACCGGUGGCGAAAGCGGCUCUCUGGCUUGUAACUGACGCUGAGGCUCGAAAGCGUGGGGCGCAAACAGGAUUAGAUACCCCAGUAGUCCCUGUCUCUUAUACC